rnacentral:ncRNA from 1 species
UUUAAAAUAUACAGGUUCGUAUAAAUUCGGUAAUAAGGUCCGAAAGUUUCUACCCGCUAACCAUAAAUCUGCGGACUACGAGGUGCUGUAA